GAAGAUAUCACAACACAAUUCUAGACACAAGUUAAAAUAAUACAAGCUUUAUAUUACAAGCCAGGGGCCUCGAGGGCUGGAAUACAUCAGCUCGAAAACACAAGAGUCAUCGGAAGCAACAAUAUCUGAAUACAGACAUAAGUUAAACAAGUCUGUCUUAAGAAGGCUAGCACAAAAGCAACAACGAUCGAAAAGGCAAGGCCUCCUGCCUGGGAGCCUCCUAACUACUCCAGGUCGUCAGUGGCCAUGACAUAGUAGUAGACACCCUCGGGGUCGUAGUAGUCAUUAGUGGUGUCGUCUGGCUCCUGGGAUCCAUCAUUUGGUCGCAACAACAGGGUAUAGGGGAAAAAGAGGUAGCAAAGCAACCGUGAGUACUCAUCCAAAGUACUCGCAAGACUUACAUCAGAUCUAAAUUAAGUAUGCAUCUAUAUCAAAGGAAAAUGAGCUGUAUCUGUGGACUAAACUGCAAAAUGCCAGGAAAGAAGGGGAAAGCCUAGCCUAUCGAAGACUAGCAUCUUCAAGCAUCUUGCAGCAUAUAGAAGAGUACAGAUCAACAUAAUGUAAAGUAGUAGUAGUGUUAUCAACCUUGGCCAGAGAUCAUUUCCCGACUCCCUGCGAGAAAGCAAUCCCAGAGCCAUACUAUCCAUUUAUCAUAACCAUUUCUCAUCUCAAGUAUCCAAUUCUAGUUGUAUCGAUCGGGAUACAACUCCAAGUGUCCGUUACCAUAGGACAGGCUAGUGAUAGAUGUUUUCUUCCCUGCAGGUGUGCACCAACUUACCCACCACGCUCGAUUAACUCCGGCCGGACACACUUUCCUGGGUCAUGCCCGGCCUCGGCCAAACAAUAUGCCGCAACCUGACCUAGGCUUAAUAGAGAGGUCAACACGCCAGACGAAACCUAUGCCCCAAGGGGUCAUGGGCCAUCGCCCCGGGAACUCCUGCACGUUGCGUGGGCGACCGGUGAGAAGACCUAGCUACCUCCUUAAAAAUGCAGGAGCUUACCAGUCCAACCCGGCGCGCGCCGUUCAGUCGCUGACGUCUAUUAAGCUUCAGCUGAUGCAUACGACGCAGAACGCCCAUACAAUGCCCACAUGAUGGUUAGUGCUAUCAGGCCAAAGGCCCCUCGGAUCAAAUAUCCAAACCGUUAGUGUGUUGGUAGUGCGGUCACGAGCAAAGACUCACGAAAGAUGUGACCCCGUCGCCCCGUCUCGAGUACUUGCGGCAAGGGCUAAGAAUGCCCGGCCAUGCCUGGUAAGUAUCUUGCGGGCACCUUCCAGGUCAACCCGACUCCACAUCACUCGCUAUUAAGCUCGCGCGGGUACCCCUCAGGGCCGACCCGUCUUUAGUAACAUGGUUAGUGUAAAGUCAUAGUAACCAUAGUAACUGUGUGUCUAACACCAAGGGGAAAACCCGAGGAAUCACCCCCGGUGAAUUCCACUCAAUGUAAUCAUCAAGGUGAACGUAAGAGGAUCCACCCUCGAGGUUCACACUUGAGGGGUUGCAUGACAGAGCCGUAUCGGAAGUGGUUAAGGAGGAAAUCACACUUGAUGACCACGACCUGAUAGCUACACUACAGAGAUCUCAUCAGGAGUGAUGUAUGAGGUUCCACCCUCGGCACUCGAUGGUAACUCUGCCGAGUCGAGCAACAAAAGGGGAAAGUGAUGUGUGGUGCCGGGGCCUGGUCUUCGAUCCCGUUGAUCGGGUCUUCGAUGAUGAAGCAGGGGAAACAAGGACAAGUUGGGGGUCGCUGAUGGAUCUCUAACCAACCUAUAGUAAGCAAUUUAGAAUAAGUAGGUAAGAUAUGAAAGCAGGUAACAAAAAAGCUAUGCAUCAGAAUAGGAUCAUACAGAAAGCAGCAGUAGUUCUAAUGCAAGCAUGAGAAGGAAUGAAAUGGGCUAUAUCAGAAUGCUCAAGGGGGGUUUGCUUGCCUGGAAGCUUUGUUGAAAAGGAAAAGGUGUCGUCAUUGUAGAUGAUCACAGGGGCGACAUCGGUCUCGGGGUCUACCGGAGAGAAGAGGGGGAAGAAACAAUAAAUAUAAAGCAAACAAAGCAUCACAAAGUAUAACAUGGCAAUAUGUUGUGCCGAGUGUGACCUAACAUAUGCUUACACGAUAAAGUUGAAGGGGGAAUUCAACCGGGAAUGUACUCCCUGUUCCGGACCUGUGUCAAACAGAUGACCGAAGGGAGAAGUUCCAUGUUUAGAUAGUUAGAGGCAUCUAACAGGUAAACGGACCGCGUGUUCGGAUUCGUCUCGUCGUUCUGAGCAACUUUCAUGUAUAAAUUUUUUUCAUCCGAGUUACAGAUUAUUUUAUAUGAAUUUAUUAAAGAUUUAACAAUACUCGGAAAAAUCCCUGAAAUUUUGCUAAGUCUAAGAAUUAGCCAGUUUUAAGCAUUACUUGGUUGUUUUCAAAACGCUACUACUAUUGUUCUGUUCAUCCUAUGAUUUUGUGCCUUAUAUCAAUUUUGAGUAUUUUUCUGUGAUCUACAAAAUAGUAGCACUUUCACCUUUGUUAGAGUGCAUUUGCUUGAUCAUCGACAGCUCUAAAGUAGCUAUGAAAUUAAAGCUGUUUUCGGCUUUUGUAUUAACAGAACAAAGAACUUUGUGAUUUUCAUAGGAAUUAAUCCACACAUCAAAAGGAUUUGGCCCAGUGGGAUAAAAUGGAGUUUGUCAAGUAUACCAUCUACUCAUAUUUUUCUUAGCCUUGUUAACAGUUGUUUAACCGCAGUUUAGAGGCUGUUUAGAGGGCUAUUUAGUGUAGAAUUAGAAAAGCUAACUAGUACCAGCUACAGUAACUAGCAGCAGUACAUCGACAACAAAGUAGCGGUGGACGCGGCAGUAGGCGGGCAUGAGCGAGCCUCGGCGCUCACGGACGCGGGCGACUGCGGAGAGGCAGUUGCACUGACGAGCAGGGGCGCGGCCCCGGGUAGCAGCGGCCCUGGUGGGCGCGGCCAGGCCCCCAACGGGCGCGGCUGGAGUGGCGUCGCAGGGCGCGGCCUCGACGAGGCAGGGCGCAGGCGGAUGUGUAGCGCGCGUGCGGUGAAGGGAGCGGCGAGGUGCGGGCGGGGCAGCAAUGAGGGGCGAGGCCGCGGGGAAGCAAUAGCAAUAGUAGAGCAGCAUUAGUACGCAGGAGCAACCGCUAGAGGCAAAGUAGAGAGCGUGCGUGCACGGACGAGUUCCGGACAUGGUGAGCGGCGGCGCGCGUGGGACGGCAUCUACGGUGAUGGAUUCAAAGGGAAACAGGGGGAGCUGAGAGAGAGGAGCUCACCGCGGAGCCAUAGGCGUGCUCGGGGAAGGCCGGAGUGGUCGGAGCAGAGUAGUUGGGCGAUGGCGCGCCGACGACCGAGGUUGAAGAAGAGGAUCAUGGCGUCAAUGCAGUGGCGAUCCCGGCCGACCCGUUGGCGUACUCGAUGCAGAUGGAGGAGGCACGGCUCCUGGAGUGGACGGCAAGCACGGGGAUGCCUUGGUUGCGGCGAAUUAAAGGCGGCUGUGGUCGGCUCCGAAGAUUCAAGACGAUGACGCUGGCGACGAACCAGCGCUUCCCGGCUCACGUUCUUCCGCAGAGAGAUGAGGUGGAGCACGGCGGACCUUCUGGACUUGAUACCGCUGCGAGAGGAUCUCGGUGGCCACGGUGAACGGUGUCGGCGCGACGAUGCUGAGCUCUGGAGAGAGAGAGCGUGGUGGCGCGAGGGGAACGAGCAAGGGAGAGAGGGAAAAGGGGCACUAGGGUUAGCAGGGGGUUCGAG
rnacentral:lncRNA from 1 species